rnacentral:rRNA from 1 species
GAUGAACGCUGGCGGCGUGCUUAACACAUGCAAGUCGAACGAUGAACCGGGUGCUUGCACUCGGGGACUAGUGGCGAACGGGUGAGUAACACGUGAGCAACCUGCUCCUGACUCUCGGAUACGCGCCGGACACGGCGUCUAAUACUGGAAAUGUCCCGUCCCCGGUUGGCCUUCGGGUUGAAAGACACUUCGGUUGGGGAUGGGCUCGCGGCCUAUCAGCUUGUUGGUGAGGUAAUGGCUCACCAAGGUGUCGACGGGUAGGCGGCCUGAGAGGGUGACAGGCCACACUGGGACUGAGACACGGCCCAGACUCCUACGGGAGGCAGCAGUGGGGAAUUUUGCACAAUGGGCGGGAGCCUGAUGCAGCAACGCCGCGUGAGGGAUGACGGCCUUCGGGUUGUAAACCUCUUUUAGCAGGGAAGAAGCGAGAGUGACGGUACCUGCAGAAAAAGCACCGGCUAACUACGUGCCAGCAGCCGCCGUAA